rfam:Triticum aestivum genome assembly, contig: Triticum_aestivum_CS42_TGACv1_scaffold_066814_1DL
AAAGUACUCCCUCCGUCCCAAAAUUCUUGUCUUAGAUUUGUCUAGAUACGGAUGUAUCAAGUCACAUUUUAGUAUUAGAUACAUCCGUAUCUAGACAAAUCUAUAAAAAGAAAUUUGGGACAGAGGGAGUAGUUG